AUCAUGCUUUGAAUCCUGUCUGAUUGUGGGGCAUCAUCGCUCCAAUAUGCUGGCAUUAAAUAAGUGCUUCAUAUAUAUAAUAGACGUGAAUACUGAGGCGGGGUUCUGAUGUUGACAGCAUGUCUUCCUUCGGUGCGUAAGGAUAAAUGACCAUCCUUGAUUUUCCAUACAAGCAGGCCUUGAGCAGCAGGUGCCUAUCUAGUGGAGCUUCUGGGUGGUGGUUCUUUCUAGUCCUACAGAUGUUAAGACUAGAGAAGGCCACAGUGUAUGGUUUAAGGCCAUGAUCAAAGUUUGUGGUUUCGGUAACAAAGGCAGUUUGGGCCUAAGCUGCAUCAUCUUCAAACUAGGGAACUGAACGUGGUCAAUAUGUGCCUUUUUGUUGCCUUGCUGAGAGUAGCAGUUGGCAUAGUGAGGUGGAGCUGCCAUCCUGGCACUGGAAUGCAGCAGAGCAGAGCACUGAAUGCAUGGACACCCCAGCAGAGCAUAUCUAGUGCUUCCACCAGUGCAGCUACACAGUCCUGACCUCAGCAUUGCCCUCUAUAGUUAUGCAGUGAUGAUAACAUUAAGCAGUACGUACAGUGCUGUUUCAUGAUGUGUUUCAUUAUUGUCUUCCAGUCAGGCAAGUUAGUAGCCUUACAGUUCAGUCCUAUACAUGUCUAAUCAGAAGUCCAAUUGACUUCAGUGACGUUUUCUUCCUGGUGAAAACAAUAACAACAACAAUUAUUAUUUACUAGUAUCAUGAAGCCCGUUAAAAUAACAGGUGCUAGAGGAGACCUGUUGCUCUAGCAACCUCGGGGACAUGCACAGAGCUGAUGAAGUGGCGGGUCUGCGCUCCAAGUCCCAAUGGAUAGAACUGACUUGAUGGGGUGGGAGUUAGGAGAAGGCCUUGAUUUCUUUCCUCAUCCACUGAGGCCAGCAAGCGGCCCUACGAAUUCCCUUCCCGGACCUCCUACCUCAGCCCGGCUCGAGCGCCGCAGCGGCCUGCCCGCCUCAUUCUCUCUCCCACCGGUGUUGCUCCUUGCAUGGAUGAGCCGCCGAGCCAUGCCCUGAGGAGGCUGGGCCCGCCUCUCCCGUCAGGGCCUACAAAGAAGAAGCAGCAGCAGCACCCGGCGAAGGGGAAUGGGCGGUCCUCGUGCCCGCCUUGCCACCUUACCCUGGCUCGUCUCCCUGCUGGGCCGAGCGGGCGCCAAGCUCCCCUCUCCGAAGUGUGUCUGCGCUCCAAGUCCCAACGGCUGUCCGUGGGGCACAUGCGCAGUAGCGCAAUCCCACGGACACACGGACUGGACGCAGAGACACUUGCACUUUAUUAUAUAGGAAAUGCUGCCCAGGGACGCAGGUGGCGCUGUGGCCUAAAGCACUGAGCCUCUUGGGCUUGCCGAUUGGAAGGUCAGCGGUUCGAAUCCCCGCGACGGGGUGAGUUCCAGUUGCUCUGUCCCAGCUCAUGCCAACCUAGCAGUUCGAAAGCAUACCAGUGCAAGUUGAUAUAUUAGGCACUGCUGUGGUGGGAAGGUAAACGGCUCUGGUUUCCGGCACGGUGUCCUGUUGCGCUAGAAGCAGCUGAAUCCUGCUGGCCACAUGACCCGGAAAGCUGUCUGUGGACAAACACAGGCUCCCUCGGCCUGAAGUGAGAUGAGGGCCACACCCCAUAGGCAUCUAUGCCUGGCAUUAACUGUCCAGGGGUCCUUUACCUAUAUUCUGCCCAUCUGACUGGGUUGCCUCAGCCACUCUGGGCAGCUUCCAGCAAAGUAAAACAUCAAACACAGUAUAACAUCAAGCAUAUAAAGGGCUGGGUUCAGAUGUCUUCUAAAAGUCAGGUGGUUGUUUAUUUCCUUGCCAUCUGAUGGGAGGGAGUUCCACAGGGCGGGCGUGACUACCGAGAAGACCCGCUGCCGGAACAUAAUUGCAGUCUUAGUUCUCAAUUCACAUCAAUAGUUGAUGCUCAAAUUACAUACUGCCGAAGUUUUGGCAUUGUUUUCUUUUAGAAACUACAACACAAACUAGUGUAGUCUUCAGCCUUUUUAGCUCCUGGACCCCAUUUUAUGUCAUUUGUGCAGCAUGGAAUCCACAUAAUUUUUUUUUUUACCAUGUAUGUCCAUUUUUCUACUCCUGUUUUUUCCUAUUCCCGCACAUUGUGCCAACAUUUCCAAUUGUGUAUUGGGGGGGAUGGGGACGGAUGGAUGGACGGACAGACCCCUAAACAAAAAACAUGUUUUGCAGUGUAGCCCUGAGUGACCCAGCUUAGCCGAGAGGGUGAUCCACCACUUGUUGAUCUUGGCCCAGCUAGAGGACAAAUUGAUAGGUGACAGAGGUUCCUGAAGGAGAAGGGACAGAGCUAUAUUUGAAUGUUUUAGUGAACUUAAUUGAGGUAUAGUGCACAAAAAAUAUUAAACAUAGACUACACUUGUUCCAGUUAUACUUGUAUAUCUGCUGCCCGUACUUCCCAUAUUCUGCCAAUUUGCCAGAAUGCCAAAUUCAUUUACAGUUUUUUUUUAACCCACAAUUAAUUCACUGAUGAAGAAAGAGCUGGGGCUUAGUUUUCUUGCUUUGUCUGUUUGUGUAUAGGAUGUGUGACAUCAAUCAGUACUGUCUUUUUAAAAAAAGACAAUGUGUGAAAAACUCUAAAAAAAUUUUUUUUACAUUAGCAAAGACCAACUGCAACAAAUUUCAUGUUAAUUAAAUGCAAUUAAAAUUUCAAAAGGACCCUUAAUCUGAAUAUAAAGAGAAUUCUUUUAUUGAAGUAGACUCUGAACCUACAAUAGGUAUAAACUUUUAAAAUGUAGUUUUAUGAUCCCGGUUCAUUCAAGUUCUGUUGGACAACAAAGGAAUUGUGUGUUCAAAAAAGGGGUAGGGAGGUAGGUUUAAUAGGACUCAUUAGAAUUGCAAUGCAAAAUCCUACAUUUAAUUAGAUUAGGUUUUUUAAAAAACUAGAUUAGUUUUUAAACUAAAGUAGCGUUCUAUUUUUUGUGUGUGUCCACAUGUAAGGAUUCAGGCUUAAAUUGUGACCAAUAUCUUCAUAUGGCCUUUUAAGCAUUCAAACCACUUUAUUGUUUAAAUAAAAGUUGCUGACAUCACCACAAGUAAAGCCUAGUAAAAAUGUGGCCUGGUAUGGUAAACUCUUGAAGAGCUGAAGCAGAAACUGGCAACCUUCUGACCUCUGACUUUUACUGGAAAAUGAUAUGCAACAUAAAUUUAAGGGGCCUUUUCUCUUUCAAGUAUUUCUUCAUAUGUGUGUUGCAGUUCACAGUAGUUUAGGUGUGCUGACACUUCUGAGGUAUUUCCACAAAUUUAUUUAUUUUUUUAACAUAAAUGGCUGUAAAACAACAGGCUCAUCAUGAAUAGGAACACAAGGCUAAACCUUCCCCAUUUCUCUAAUCAACAUAAAAUCGAAAGAUGGCUGCUGGAGAUGACUGUGAUUUUUUUCGGCAGGUGGGAAUGGAGAUGAGAAUGUGGGUUGCUUUGGGAAUAAGUCUGUUCUCAGAGAACUGUUGCAGGGUAUCCAAAGAGGGAAGGGAUCCACUUGGAAAUUUUCCUGCGUGUUUCUGCAGCUGUGUAGCACCCAUUCACUUUAAUGGGAUUUAUGCUAGGGAGUGCCCCAGCGCAUUGCGCAGCUUUCUCCAAUUCAUUUCCAUGGAGACACUGUGACUCCUAAUGAAGUAAUCCCAACCCCUGGUUCAUUUUUUUGUUGCACCAGUUCCAGGAUGGCAUGGGAGAGAGGUCUGGAUCAGGCCCAUCACCAGUAGCUGGGCUGGCUGAGGAUCCAGCAGAUCCUUGGCUGUUCCAGCUCAAUCCCAUCUCCAGAAACACCUCAUUUGCUUCCACCCACACUUUUGGGAGAACAGCAGGGACUCCCACAACGGUGGAGGUCCCCUGAUGGCAGAGCUGAGAGAUGGCACACUUCUACUGCAUCCAAAUCCAUUUAGUGGGGUAAAUUGAUUACCUCUUUGGGUACCUUUGAAAAUUUGUGGUUUGACAUUUCAGUUUCAGUUAACUGAAAUAUGUAUGUCAUUCACACAUAAAAUCUUGUAUGGUAAUCCUGAACAAGGUAACAAGUUGAGAUUGUUUUAAUUUUCCCUAGACAAAAUCCACUACUGGUUUUCCUUCUACAGAACUGAUCUGGAUUUUCUCACAAAGUUCUGAGCAAGUGCUGAAUUCCAUUCUGAACUGGUUCUGAUGAUAGCAGGGCUGUAGUCAGGAAAACUGACCACCCAAAAGCAAGAGUCUGGAUCAGGGUAGAGGGGUACGGAGGUAGAGGCAAGUGUGGUUCUCCCCAGGGCUUCUUUGAUCUGGAACUCGCUGGAACUCAGUUCCAGCACCUCUCAGGUGGGCAUCAUUGCCAUUAUAAGAGAACAAGGUGGGUGUUUAUGGUGCUUUCUGGCAUCUCUUUCUCUCCAUCACUGUCUCUGGAAUCUGGAAGACUUUGAGGAUAUUUUUGGAGCUUUGCCAGUUGCAUAGGCCAGUUGUUGACCCCAAAUUCCUCAAUGAUCAUAGAACCCCUUAAUUAUAUAAGCAGACAUAUAUAAGUUCACCUCUUUCCUGCUGUGAAUAUUCCUGAUAGAUCAGUUAUGGCAAUGCCUUCUAUGGUAAGGUGUAUGUUGAGGAAGCCUGUUGUAAAGAGUAAGCUUUAAUGACUUAGUAGAGGUUAGUCUACCUUGGCAGAAGGCUUAUAAAGAAGCCUUUUAGCAUUAAAUAGGAAUAACGCCUUUACUAAAAUAGGCUGUGUACACAAUUGCUGGCUUAAAAUGCAGUCAGGUUGUUCUUUUUCUCAAUUUGGAUCAAAGCUAGUUUGGAGAAAAACACAGCAUUUUAUAAGAAAUGACAGGGUAGAUACAGGAUAUAGAUGAAUUAUUAUUAUUAUUAUUAUUUACUAUUUAUACCCUGCCCAUCUGGCUGGGCUUCCCCGGCCACUCUGGGCGGCUUCCAUCAAACACCAAAAUACACCAAAAUAUCACAGAUUAAAAACUUCCCUAAACAGGGCUGCCUUUAGGUGUUUUCUAAAUGUCUGAAUGGUGGCUAAUGUUGUAUGUAGACCACUUCCCACACUAAUUGUGAGAGUGCACUGGAUACAGAGUAAAUGGAGUGUGUACAUAUAGCCAUGGUCCCCAUAAGCAACUAUUUUUCUAGUAACUGUGAAUUAUCACAGUACAGAGCUCAUUCAGGGAGCCCAUGCUGUAACUCUACAUCAGUGUUGUGCUGUGUUUCUAUCUCUGUGUUUAUAAUUAAGAAGACAAAAUAAUUAAAAGCAGGUCUAGGCCAGCUGUGUGUUCAUGGAGGCUGAGGUAGACCUUGUGUAUAUAGGAAAGUAAACUUGAUGGGAGGGGGAAUAAAGCAGCCAUGGCAACCAUGGAGUGAACUGCGGUAUUCUCCCUGGUCUUUUUUGUAUGGGGCGGGAAUUUCAUUACUUGCCCAGUCUCUGUGUAGCAAGAAAGCUUUUCCUUCUUGCAUGAGUUAGAGUAGUUGCUUUCAUGCACAAUGUGUGGCAUUUUGCAAACCUGACAUCCAAUAAAAAUGGGUGGUUUUUUUAAUUAUGAAAAAGUAAUAUGUAAUAAAAAAGUAAUAUGUAAUAAUAUUCUUGGAUCCAGAGUAGUCUGCGUGGAACUCACACAACAGGACUUUCCCAUCUCUCUACUCACUGCAGCUCCCCGAGGUCCUCUUCUGAAACUGCAGGGGAUGUGGAGGGGGGGGGGAAUCCACUUGGCCGCAAGCAUACAUCUUCUGAGCAGGGGCAACUGAUUUAAUCUCUUUCCCUUUCAAACCUGUGGAGGGGCUUGUAUUGGGCUCAGAGAAGAAACUAGACAAGCUGUGUUCAUCUUCUGGCUUAAGCCCAAGGCAACCCACUUGCCAUGACUUCAGGACCAAAGCAAGGGGCAGAAAGCUCAGACAGCUGCCCUUCCAUCCAUCCUCAAAGCCACUACAGAGAAUGGAGAGCUAGUCAGUCUGCUUGAGCCUGGGAGCAAGGAUGUGAGGUGAGCAGUGUGGUUUUGAAGCAAAGCGUCAGCUGCAGUAGAGGUCACCAAUGCAAGCUCUGCGGGGCCAAGUUCCAGCCACCAUCUCUCUUCCCAAGUUGGGUGCUUGCUUUCUGGCUCCAACAAAAUGACUUCAACAGCUUUGUUGUUGUUUAGUCGUGUCCGACCCUUCGUGACCCCAUGGACCAGAGCAUGCCAGGCAUUCCUGUUUUCCACUGCCUCCUGCAGUUUGGGCAGACUCAUGUUGGUGGCUUCGAGAACACUGUCCAACCAUCUCUUCCUCUGUCAUCCCCUUCUCCUUGUGCCCUCCUUCUUUCCCAACAUCAGGGUCUUUUCCAGGGAGUCUUCUCUUCUCAUGAGGUGGCCAAAGUAUUGGAGCCUCAGCUUCACGAUUUGUCCUUCCAGUGAGCACUCAGGGCUGAUUUCCUUAAGAAUGGAUAGGUUUGAUCUUCUUGCAGUCCAUGGGACUCUCAAGAGUCUCCUCCAGCACCAUAAUUCAAAAGCAUCAAUUCUUCGGCGAUUAGCCUUCUAUAUGGUCCAGCUCUCACUUCUGUACAUAACUACUGGGAAAACUAUAGCUUUAAUUAUACGGACCUUUGUCGGCAAGGUGAUGUCUCUGCUUUUUAAGAUGUUGUCUAGGUUUGUCAUUGCUUUUCUCCCAAGAAGCAGGUGUCUUUUAAUUUCGUGACUGCUGUCACCAUUUGCACUGAUCAUGGAGCCCAAGAAAGUAAAAUCUCUCACUGCCUCCAUUUCUUCCCCUUCGAUUUGCCAGGAGGCAUAGCUGCCAAGUCUCCCGUUUUCCCCGGGAAACCCCCGUUUUAAAAGCUGUUUCCCGCUGACAUCCCGAAUGGCGAAAUAUCCCAUAAUUCCCCUAGAUUUCUUCCGGUGCCGCUCUGCCCAUGUCUGGGCACCGGAAAUUGCUUCUACGCAUGUCUGGACAUGCGUAGAAGCGACUUCCGGUGCCGGCGCUGCUGAUCCCGUAUUUUUCUAACCGGGACUUGGCAGCUAUGCCAAGAGGUGAUGGGAUCAGUGGCCAUGAUCUUAGUUUUUUUGAUGUUGAGCUUCAGACCAUAUAUUGCACUCUCCUCUUUCACCCUCAUUAAAAGGUUCUUUAAUUCCUCCUCACUUCAACAGCUACCUCAGAGCUUUUGUCAUGGCCAGGAAGUGUGUGUGGAAAGGAAGGAUAGAAGGGGUGGGGUGGGAAUCUGCUUCUCUUGGAAAACUUUUUAGGAGUCUCCACUUCUUUGUUUUCUGCUCCCUACUUUUUGAGCAAAGGUGUCAAGUGUGAUUUCAGUAGGAGUGUGUGUGUGUGUGUGUGUGUGUGUGUGUGUGAGAGAGAGAGAGAGAGAGAGAGAGAGAGAGAGAGAGAGAGAGAGAGAGAGAGAGAGAGAGAAUGCUAAUUCAUGCCUUAAAUUACUCCUAUUGAAAUCAGUAGAUUUCACUUAACUCUAUCAUGGCUUUAUUUGAAAAUUGAAUUUGUUUUUUUUAAAAAAGCAAACCCUGAGCCUAGACUUUCUGUGUCCAGGGCCCUGUUUUAAUUGUCCUGUGAUCGUGAUUAAAAAAAAAAAGUUGUCCUUUUAAGGUAGGAAGUGAGGUUUUCUUCUCAUGGAAACAGUAUCAAUACUUGCAAUGCUUUCCUGCCUUUUGUAGAAGAGUUCAGCCAACCUAUUGGCAAAAGGCAGUUCCAUUUAUUAUUGAAGAGAAUCUCAAGGCAGUUUUUUCGAGGCUGCAAAGCUGGCUAGCAGAGCUGGGUGAAGGAGCGGGGGAAGGGCCACAUUAUGUUCCAGAUGACUGAGCAACGGUUUAUACACCAGCUCGCCUUUUUACAUGAAGAAGAAAAGUAAUAACAGCACAGACCCAGCCAUUGGAAGCAGUCAGAUAUCUGAUGACUAAUGGGAUAGGUAGGAAGGAGCCCUCUGAUUGGAUGUCUUAAUGAGCAGAUUUCGCACAGAGUUUGGGCUGCAGUUCCCCUUGACCUUUACCCUUUAUUGACCGAACUGACACUUCAUUUUUCACAUACUUCCAAUUAUGGCUCAGCUUAAGUGUUGCCCUUCCUCCUUUAUUUCUUUCCUAUGGACAACUUGAGAGUGGUUGAGGCCACAGAAGAUAUUUUAAUUUGAGAAACUACCGUAGCAGUUCAGUUUUUUAAGAUGUAAUCUGAAACUGCGGUCAUUUUGCAGUUUUCCCUAAAGAACAUAACAGGUUUUUGUUUAGCUAAUCUAUAGAGACCCCCGCCCCCAAAUAAUGCAGAUGUUUUGCUUCAGACUGAAAUAUUAAGAUUUUAAAACUUGCAUUUAAUCCCACGUUCCCCUCUCUUUCUCCCCCAAAUUGAUGCUUUGUAGAUCCAAGUAGUUUGAAUGAUGUGUAUUUGUUCACACUGUGCUAUUUCUCAAGAGACUUUUGUAGUGUGAUGCCCUAAAACGUAUUUAACACUCUUCAGAGACUAGAGAAAAGCAAGACAUAGUUGUGGAUACAGUUCUCAAGUCCUUAGACUACAUGGAAGCAUCAUUGUUGUUCUGGCAAUAUUUAAUGUGUAAAUGGAAAUUAAAAGGAUGAUCCUUUUUAAGAGAUGGCUGAAAAUGAUGGCAUUUGAGUGUUUCUAAGAAUAGUGUGGGAAGGACUUCUUUACUAUAAGCUGUGCUUAGUCUUGCUGUUAGGGAAUAUUCCAUAGCAAGGCGGAUAAUACAUCAAGGGUAGUUUUGAAGUACAGUAGUGUCUGUGUCUAUGUGAUUUUCUAUUGCGGCCUGCUCAAGUUUGAAUUUACAUUUCCGCAAUAAUUGUAAUUAAUGCAAAUAAGCGCAUUUUCAAAAUAAAAACCAGAGCUACAAUAGUUUUAGCACCUGCACGAAUCACUUGAUUCUGGAGGUCACCUAGUGAAGUCCAUCUGCAUAAUAAUCAGGCAUACUAUUUAUUUGAUGAGAUUAUUGCUUGGAAAUACUUGGAAAUAUAUAACCAAAUACUUACAUCCAAACAGAGGUCCUUAGAAAAUAGAAGUAUUUAUUUCAAAAUGUAUGAAGUGUUACCUACUUUAUUAUGUAGCCCUCUGGCACCGUAAUAGCAUGGCAUAUUUUUACUAUAAUAUGGUAAUAAAAAAGAUAUGUAAAAGGCAGACAAAGGUACUGUCUUUUCAGUAAGGUGACCCCUGUUACCAAGUAACUGCUUUACUUAUGAGCUUAUUAAAAACUCAAAAAAUGAGCUUUUCAUACUUCAUAGGCAUUGAUGUGAAAAUGAGCUGUCCUGUGAGUAGUUUUCUUGAUCAUUUUUAGAACAAUUGAUUAGCCAAAGAGCUUCUGUCAUUAGUUGACAUUGACUGAUAGCAAUUUGUCACAAGCUCCGAAGGUCAGCCAGAGAGUGGAAGCUUCAGCUUGUCUUUGAUUGACCUUUGCUGAUGCCAUUAUCAUACGACUGGCUUGGCUGGAUGUGACCCUCAAUUGAAAAAGACAGAGCAUCAGUCAGCAGUGGGUUGUUCUGUUUUCUGAUUAUUUAUAUAUUGUGUGUCUUCAGCUGCAUCUAAGAGCUUUCUUUUAUGUUUUAAAUAUAUUAAUAGAUUUGAGUACUGUCUCUAAAACUGCACUUUCUUCUAAAUAUCCAGCUAAUAUUUUGCUUUAAAGUAUCUUAUACAGUAGCUGAUACAGCAGUUUCUUGACAUGUGUGCUGGAGUACUUUUCGAAAAGUUUGAAAAGUUUGAGGUGAUUUAUAAUCUUACCUGUAUUCUCGUGUUUUAUUUACCCAAGGAUUCCCCCCCCCAAAAGUUUUAGGAAUGUGAAGAUUAUGUUCUUAAUCACAUUUACCUUAAUGUACCUUACUUUCACCAGCAGUUACAUUUCUCUGUGUAAUUGCAUGUCUUGCACUAUAUUGUGUAAAUAUUACCUUCAUUUUUGUAUGUUUAGCAUAACAACAAUAAUUAAAAUUAUUUGUUUGUUCGUGUAUACGGUUAUUAUUCAGACCCAAAACUGAAAUGAUUUUCUACAGUUCCAAAAUGACUCUUUCACUUUUCAAAAUCUGUACAGCAACACUAAACACUUGCUAGCUUUGUUCCUUUCUCUUCAGUUGUGGGCAGUAUAGCUGUAAACUAAUUAGCCUCCCUUUUUCCCCACUGCCCUUUAAUGGCCUAUCUGGAUUCCUAAAUGUAGCUAAUAACUUGUUUUUCAGGUCCAUCCUUAUAGACUCCAAAACCAUUACAGAGUUUUACCAAGAUUAGAAAGCCUCACCCUCAGUGGAGAAUUAAAUACAAAUUGAGGUACAGCAGGCAUCCCCAAACUGCGGCCCUCCAGAUGUUUUGGCCUACAACUCCCAUGAUCCCUAGCUAACAGGACCAGUGGUCAGGGAAGAUGGGAAUUGUAGUCCAAAGACCCAUAUGUAGGAAAGUUUCAUUCUUAUGGAGACAAGGAUUGGCUAGGUUGUAAAAAUAGCCGCUUUGAUAGAGAAUCUCCAAUCAAGAGAGGAAAGCUUAGACUGCAGCGCGUAACAGAGUACAGUGGUUCGUGGCCUUACGAAAUUGGAUAAUGUGGAGCAAGGACAAAAGGCCACAUGUUCUGAUGUUGAUAUCAGAGUUUCAUAAGAAUGGCCCUUGGACUCUGUUUCAUAUCUACAAAGCACAAACUCCCAGAAAUGCUUUUGAAUUAAGAAAAAUGGCCUUCCACUUUUGCUUAGAUCAGAAAUUGAAGUUUUGGGUUGCUUUGUGGAAGGAAUGUUUUCAGGGUUAUGUGCGCCUAAAGAGCUUAGAUAUAACCUGCUCUCUGAAUCAGAGUGCAGGACUACUGGUAGAGAUGGAGCUCAUUGGGUUGGUUACCUCGGGUCAGUCACUAACCUCUCAGCUUCACCAUUUUGCAGAGUUGUUGUGUAGGUAGGUGCAGUGCUUUUUCUUUGGGCAUGCAGUAGUGGCACCUCUUUGUUGUUAAAAAAAGUGUGAGACUUAUUGUAACAACUUCAUGGUGAGUACUGGCACCUAUUUUUCAAGAAAGAAAGCACUGCGUAGGGGUGUGUGUGUGUGUGUGUGUGUGUGUGUGUGAACUAUGCACACUACCUCAAUUUCUUUGGAACAGUGGAAGGAUUUAACUGCAGUAAAUACAUAAUUCUGGAGGAUUAAGGGCCAGGCUUCUUCUAUCUUGGUUCCUUUCUGGUGGAAUUCCCAUGACUACCGAACAGUAUGUGUGUCUCCACUUAUAAAGGCCUUUCAAAAACUGGUUCAAACUGAGGUGUUUUUUUUUUUAUGUCUCCAGUUUGCCAGCAUCUACUGCGAUUUUUAAAAACAUGUUUUUUCCCCUGUUUUGCACAGUUUUACAUCAAUGGCUUUUGGCCAGUUAGAAAUUAGUUUUAAGCCAGUAUUCUUAAUUAAAUGAUUUGCCGUAUUUCCUCUUGUAUGCAAUCACAAUUUGAAUAAGUAGCAAAACUAACUGAACUAGCUUGAAUCCACUGCUGAUGUGGGAUGCGUAGAAAGAAUAUGAAAUAUUAGUGCUUUCAGCUGGUUAACCACAGGCCAAACCCAGAUAUGGGGUCAGCGUUCCGGUCUCAUUCACAUAUAACAAAGGUGUGUGUGUGUGUUGCUGAGAUCUCCUUGCUGCUGUCUGUUGUUCUGGACAUAUUUCUUUCUUCCUGGCUCCAAAGCGGAAGUGAACUAGGAAUUGGGGAAAGUGUUUUGGACCUAGACUGAGUAUAGAUCGGGAAUGCUAGGAACAUUCAUUCCAGUGUAUCCAUUUUACUGCUCAUGCAUUACUACUCCACUUCCCACCCAGCUUUAUAUUUGAAUGGGGCACAGAUGAGGGGGAAAAACCUGUACAGUAUCUGCCACAUCAUGUCUUAUUUGACCCUAAUUUCCCCAGGGUGCUGGAAUGGUUAUCUAGCUUAAAAACUGCAUUGAAUUUCAUUGGGCCACUGCUUCUGGCUUGUGUGGGACCAGGAUGCAUUUCUAGUACCGUACUUAACCCCCCCCCCAAAGCAUUUGGAAGAAGAGGACACCAGAGGCUUGUGUACCAUAAGUAGAGUAAUCAGAGACUUCCCCAGUUAGAAGGAAAUUAAAACUCAGAGCCCAGACAUAUCCUUAGAAAACUUGCUUUUCACUGAAGGAGGAUAUAGCCUACCGUACUCCUCAUAAUUUGAUGCUAACUUUCAUUUUAACAUGCAGUUUUAUUACUCAGGCUGUAAUCCUGUACCCAGCCACUCAUGCAUAAAUCCCACUGAAGUCUGUAGGACAGUCGAGUAACUGAUAGCAGAUUGCAACAUAAAUCUUUAACCCUCAUUUAUAGGCAGCUUCUUGACAUGCCGUUUCUGAUCAAAGUUUAUUUUUGAAAAAUGACGCUACGUGUACUAAAGUGAUUAAAAUGAUCAAGAGAGCCAGUGUGCUAUAGUGGUCAGAGAGUACUGGACUCGUGCUGGGUGAAACCCAUAUCCAAGUCCUCUUUGAGCCCCAAAGUUUACUGAGCAACCUUGGACUGGCCACUAUCUCUAAGCCUAACUGAGGAUAAAAUGGGAGUUCAGGAGGAGCUUUUAUGUCUCAUUGAAAGAAUGGUGAGAUAAAAUGUAAUAAACAAAUAAGUGCAAUUUUGGAAUGACAAUUAAUAAUUGUUAUAUGUGCUAUAGUUAUACAGGGUUGUAAUUAUCUAUUUCUUCCAUCCCCCAUUAGUAAAAAAGAAAAAGAAAAAAACACCCUAUGAUUUGCCACUAACUAUCCAAUUUGAAGUGUCCCCCAAACCUAGAAACUGGGUGUACUCCCAUUUCCUCUUUUGUGUGUGUGGGAUUAUAAUGAUAGGUUGGAUUUGUUGGCCAGAAACCUGAGAACAGGCACAACUUGUCUUUUCUCACCUCCCUUAUCCCAGUGGUGGGAAUGGUUUGAUAAUAUUCAUUCAGAUUUGACAGGUGAUUUCUCCUAUAAAUGAAUGUGUUUAAAUCAUAAUAGUUGCAACAGGAUUGUUUGAUUACUUGGCAGCAGCUUCUUUCUCUGUGAUAGCUUUUGGAUCACCUGUUUGCUGAGAGCAUUUGACAGUCUUUAUGUUUAUUACCCAAUUGAAUGUCAGUAGCAAUUGCAGCUAAAGAUAAACAAAAAUGCAAGUACUUGUUGACCUUGACUCCACACACACACACACACACACACACACACAGUAUUGGACUUGAGGACUCUAUUGCUCUUUUGCUGAUAAGAGCUAUAAAUGAUUAUUUUAAGGGAAAUGUUUUAUUCCCAGAGGAAAAUACCACAUUGCUGUGGGAAACAGCAUAUGGUUGGUGUCCUACGAUUAACAUAGUAUACUGAGGAAAUAGUUCACUUUCAUUUAGACUGUGGGAAAAGAAAGGACUUCCCUUUUUAUGACUUCCGUAUCUCUCCAAACAUGCAUUCCUGUCCUGUUUGCAAAGUUUCUCUGGAAGAUUAUACGCAAUACAUAAAUAAAAUCCGGGAAGACGGAUUAAUGUUUUAUUAUAUGCUGUAAGUAAUUUCCAGGCUUCCUCAUUUCAGAUUUGUUUCAAUAGCAGGUGCACAGAUAAAUGUUUCCCUUUAUAAUGAGAAAAUACAAUGUGUUUAAAACAUGAGAGAUAAUCUUUGAGCAGCAGGUAUUCCUAAACUGGUUCCUAUUUGCUUGGUGGUCUGGAGUUCAGCUACUGCUUGCUUGAAUGCAUGCAAACCCCUCCUCCUGGGAAUGCAAUUAACUCUUCUCAGCCACUGGAGCUGGCAAAGUGGGGGAGCACUUGCAGAAGUCACCUUUUAGUGAGGAUGGGGCUUGAGGACAGGACUUGCUAGUACUUUUGGAAGGGAGCAACAGGGGCAGAUUGAUUCGUAAGUCUUUUCCUGAAUUCUGUAAAGGCUGCACUGCUUUCAGGACAAAGGACGUCUUGGCAUCUGUUAUCACUUGGAUCACAUCCUUGUCUUUUCCAGGGCAUAUCUUUGUGAGUUGUAUCUGGUAAGGCAGCAGUGGAGAACCUCUGGUUCAUGGACCUAAGUAGGCCUGGCAGGCUUGCCCAUUUGGCGUACAAGACAGUUGCAGCCAAGCCAUGACUGUCUGCCAGCACUAGGUUUAUUGUUUACUAUGAUAAUAUAUAUUCUGUUUUUCUACAGAAAACUGUAGAAAAUGAGUACUAGGCAACUUGCCAGUGUUUGAUUUGUCUUUUUAUGGGUAUUUAUGCGAUUAAAGAAUAUUGCUCUUGUGGCAUUUCUCUUGGCUAACUUUUGAAAAUGGCAUUUGACUGAGAUGCUGGGAUAAUAGGAAUGCAAUACCUCUUUGGGUGCUCAGGUUAUCUUCAUUCUACAUGGCAUUUAUUUACUCUUGAUUUAUUAAAACACUUACAUUCUGCCUUUCCAUUUAAAUGUGAAACACACAAGGUGACACCUUUUCGACUUCAUGACAAAUAUGGUAUUAAUUUUGUCUGUCCUACAAAAUUUAGUUUCCCAGCACUUCAGUUCCACAUAUCAUUGCAGUAGUAAGAGACAAGAGCAUUGGCCAUGAAGCAAACCUUGGGGGGGGGGCUGCUAUUUGAAGCAACAGGGCAUUUAAGGCAAAGACCACAUCAGAGGAUCAUUGUGUCCACAUGUUGUUCAUCUACCUUUCUUUUAUUUGCCUUUCUCUUCUUAUGAUGAGAAGGUGAGCCUUGAUGAUAUUAACAUACCCUCGGCCCAGAAACUAAUGCAUCCCAGAAAUCAAAUUAAAGAGUUUAUUUAAAAGGAAUGUAGAGAAUGGACUAGGGAAGAAACAAACAAGAACACAUGAACUAAACAAAAAUUAAACAUUGCACCAGUAUUGAACCUACAAUACACACACAAGUAUAGCAAAUUGCUUUCAGUGGCCACCUCUAGUAUUGGUAGUUUCUAAAGUUGGUUGCAGGAUGGGGAAUCAAGGGGAUGAGGAAAUGUUUGCUCUUGACCCAGGUGGGCUCUGACUGGCAAGGAGCUCUUGUGUAGCCGUUCACAACAAGGGUGCAUACUUUGGGAAAGGGUGCUUAACACCUUCUGGAAAGUUGGGAGGUGGACUGUCUUGGUAUUGACUAUUGCCAGAAUUGUCAAGAUUUGCCUCCCUUUCCUGUGAGAUGACAAGAAGCUUGUGUAUUGGAGAGCAGAUGUGAGCUCUCUGCUUGGAUAUGAUAGAAUAUAGGAGACACCAGGCUAUCCGGAAAGUGAGAGGCUGGGGUAAGAGAAGUCAUGCGGAAGCAAAUAUUGUCAUUUUGCAAGCAUGACUAAAAAUGUCCCAUGGUUUACAGAGGAAGGGGGAAAAAGACUUAUGAAGAGGAUGUGUCCUAGCUAGGACUGGAAAGGAUGAAUGUUCAAAAGAGCCUCUCUGCAACCUCUCCCCAGUGCACACACCCUCAACUGCUCCUAAAGCUCUCUGUGUAUUUCGCUUUUAUUUGUCUUGUCUCUGAGAUUCCCUCCACAUUUUCUUGGCAGCAUGUGAUCGACAGGAUUUUGUAUCCCAGACUGCUGCACCAUACUCCUUUCUCAAUGGCAAUUUCCUCCUGAGCCCUCAUGGGUGCUCUGGAGAUCCCAACAUCUCUCUCUUCAAAUAAUAAAAUAAAACAAAAUAUUAAUAAAAUAAAAAUGGAAAGAAAAGAAAAGAAAAAAGAAAAAACCUAAGCAACAUAGUUCGAAGUUAUUAAAACUAUUGUGAAUUGCUCCAUGUCAUUUAGAGUUAACCCUAAUCCUAGCACUGUGGUGCUUGGAGGUGCAAAAACCAGUAGCAAAACCAGGAGUUUGGGGUUUGCAGCAAAACUAUAGUUGCUCAGGUCAAAUGGCAAGAGAUAGUUGUGAGUGAAAUUAGAACUAUACCAAACAUUUUUUGAUGGCCUAAAUACUGUUGCAAAACAAUUGUGCUAAUUUUAGCUUAGAAAGAGGAUGAAUAUGAAAUUGCUAGUUUGCCAUAUGUUCUCUUGUUGAUAAUAUUCAAGUACAGUGGUACCUCUGGUUAAGAACUUAAUUCGUUCCAGAGGUCCCUUCUUAAUCUGAAACUGUUUUUAACCUGAGGUACCACUUUAGCUAAUGGGGCCACCUGCUGCUGCCACACAAUUUCUGUUCUCAUCCUGAAGCAAAGUUCUUAACCCAAGGUAAUUCUUCUGGGUUAGUGGAGUCUGUAACCUGAAGUGUUUGUAACCUGAAGCGUUUGUAACCCGAGGUUUUGCUGUUCCAAAUAACAGAAGACUGGGAAAUAGUUAAAUUUCUAUUCUGGCAGUAUAUGAAAUAAUGAAGUAAAAGAAAUCUCAAAAACUGGUAGUUAAAAUCAGCUAAAUUUGAUUUGGAUUUCAUUGACAUCCAUGGGAGCCAACAACUUGUGGCACAAUUCUCUCUCUUGCUGGUAUGUAAAUAUUAAAAUCAAUUUGAAUAAAAAUUCAUCUCUUCUAGGGAGACAAAACAAUUUUAGAAUUGUGUACAAUAUUCCCCUUCUGCAAGCCAGCUCUAAAAUUGUGUAUUGAUGUAGCACAGUUUUGAAGGGUUGACUUUUGCGUUUGGAAUUCUUAAGGUAUGUUUUUAAAAACCGGGGUGGGGUGGUGGGGAGCACAUGCCUUUCUACACUGCCACCAGACUUGAGUUUUUACUCCAGGGAACGUUUGUGUAUUUGUCACUGAUACCACUUCACAGUGAAGAGAAUGAUGGAUCUUCCCAAUGUGGGCAGAGUGUUUGUAGAUGGAGCAAGCUGUGUUGCAGGCUUUGGAGGGCCGAGUGGAAGCUUUGUGUUAACAACUGGCGAAAAGCUUGACCGUUAAGUGACCUAGGUCAAACAAACCCCCAGCUGAAGAGUCCUGCUUUGACAUGGAUACCUGCUUGGUAGGGGCAGCUGAGAUAAAAGCAGGGAAGGAAGACAAAGUAAGCAGUGUUGAUCUUACGAUUAUAUUAAAAUUAGCAAAUGGCAUGACUACUGCUAACAGGACAGUAAUGUGCGUGCAACAGUGCAAUUAUACAAUAUCACUUGCUCAAGUUUUGCUCAAAAGCAUCGUGUUGGUUUUAGCUACUGAUGCAGAGACAGUAUUCUAAGAUAGUUUUUUUUGCUUAAUAGUGUAAUGUGAUACCACUGGCAGCUUAGAAAGAGAGGUGAAUAAACAGCCUAAAAGCUUCACUGAUGAAAGCACUUGAUAACAUAGUUUGAUAGAAUAAAAGAUCUGGCAACAAGAGGUGACAAGCCUUCUAUUGACUCCUUUCACAACUUUUUUUGUGGUUUUAUGAACAAAUGCACUUAAGAAAAAUAAGAGCAAAAUGACAUGGUUGGUUCAUAUCACAGUAGCGCACAUGCUCUUGCGAGUUAAGUUUGGCAGGAAGCUCAUUAUGUCUAUUCCUAAACAACUUCUAUUACAUUUUUAUCUCUCCAGUUCACUGCUUGCCACAGAAAGCCUAACCCUCAACUUUCCAUGUUAAAAGUUUCCUGUUCCUGGAUGCUAAAUUUAGUUUAGCACCCACUUCCCAACACCAACCCCUGGUUAUCUACUAAGAAGCUAUUUUAAAAAGUUAAAGGAAAAUAAAAUUAUUCCCUUGCUUUAUAUGGGGGAACACUUUCUUAUUCCCAAGUUGGCUAGCUUUCAUUUAUUCAAGCUCAGGCACUGUUUAAUUUGGAAGUAAAAUAUAAGUCCGGUUUUGUUCUUUAAUGAUUCUGAUGUUUUUGUGAGUGAAAUCUUGUAAAUGCAUGUUUUCAGUGUACAGUGUUUCAUUGUAUGUGAGUUACAGGUUUACUUAAGUGCACAGCCGUACAUAAGACACAUGCUGCUUGUACAUAAAUAAUGCACUAUAUUAUAAGUAAUAUAAAUAUUUAAUGCAAUACUAUUUUUCUCAUGUUGAUUAGCAAGAAUGCUCCAAAAUGGGUAAGAGUAAAAAAAAUCAUUUCCAGUUCUACUGUUGAUCAGAUAUAAAACCUUGGUCAUGUCACAAAAGAUUUUAAUUAACAAAUAUUCUUAAAGGAUGAAAAUAUACUAGUAUACUAAUAGCACGGUACCUUGAAGAGGCCUGGAGAAGGCUUGUGUAAAAUCUGUUAACACCUGAGAUGUGUGUUUUCAGGACCCACCCUAUUCCUGUGACUAAUUUGUUUUAACCGUUUUUAAUUCUGAAUUUAAAAUAGUAAACCACACUAGGACCUGCUAGUGAAGGGUGGGCAAUACAUUUAAUAAUAAUAAAACAACAGCAACCCUAUUGUACUCAAUAGCAUUGCUUCAUCCACAACGUGUUUUGGUAAGCUGCUUUUUUUAAAAAAAUUUAGCCUGUCAACCCCCCCCCCCCUUUGUUUUUGCUUGGCAUGAUCAAGCCACAGCUAACUUCAUUUUAGAACUCAUUCAUUUCAUAGAAACUUAGAAGUGCUGCUUCAUUGUGUGACCUAUCAAAUGCUCACUCUUUAAAAAACUUUCAUUAAAAUAAUAAUUACAGUUGCUUCCACUCUGAAAUGAACCUGGGUUUAUGUUCAGUUAUAUUUAAGGACACUUCUGAUUCCCUCUUUUCCUUUUGUAGCUAUAGAUGUUGAAAAUUAGGUAACAGGAAAGCUGUUACAUAGUGUAAUGAAGCUGUUCCCACCCCCUUUCAUAAUGAGCUCCAUAGAUUAGCUCCAUAGAUUCUUCCUUGUUUAGGCAGUGAUGCUCAUUGAUGAAGAUGGAUUAAGGACUGAGGCCCAGUUCCUAUGGUUCUUAUGCCUUUUGCAUUCAUUACUACAGUGGUACCUCGGUUUACGAACUUAAUCUGUUCCGGAAGUCCGUUCUUAAACCAAAGCCAUUCUUAAACCGAGGCGCGCUUUCCCUAAUGAGGCCUCCUGCCGCCGGUGCCCUUCCACCGUUCAGCUUCCGUUCAUAAACCGAGGUCAAGUUCGCUAACUGGAACACUACGUCCGGUUUUGCGGAGUUUGAAUAUCAAAUAGUUCGUAAACAGGGCUGUUCUUAAACCGAGGUGCCACUGUACAGUAUAUGGAAAUUCCAUUCCUCUGUUGCUUUGUUAGCAUACAAAAGUUUUUGCAUCACCUCAAUAACGUGAGGAAGCUCCAAUCUCUUGGGGCUGCCUGGGACACAGCAUCACUACUGCUGAACCACAGUGAGCAGGCAUGCAUCAUGAACAUUUCCACACCUUUUUUGGGAAGAAGUUUGCAAAACUAUAAAGUAGGUGUCCAGAGAAGAAGGAAUGAGUCCUGGUUACCAAAGCAACCAGUCUGUGGAUUCCCAUUUCCAUUCUGUCUUCAAAUAAUCAUUUAAAUAGAACUAGAAUAGGGUGAAAAUUACCAUGCAGUUUUAAUAAACAAUGAAACCACCAGCACAGCAUGGUAAGGGAGUAUGAUCUAUAUGCACAGGCAACAGGGGUGUGCUUCCUUUUGCCUCUUUCUCCAUUCCUUGUGAGGGCUGUGGGAGGGCUUUGUUUUCCUCCAGUAAUAUCAUCACAUAGCUAGAUCUGAUUGGCUAUAUAGCAUCAUGACAUCAUAUAGAAGCACCAGAAGGCUGGUAUAAUGACUGUGACCAUUCUUGGACCAACCAGGAAAGUGUGACCUUCAGUACUGGAUUACUGUAAUGCAUUCUUCAUGGGGCUUCCAUUGUGCUUGACCUGCAACUUGCAGAAUGCUGCAGCAUGGUUGCUGACCAGAGUGAGACUGGUAAUGGGCUGCACGAGGGCUAAGAAACUGAGACUCAGAACAGAUGUGCUCCCGGAAUUGGGAUUCAACCUAUUUUUAAUGGGGUUGCACUCCCCUUGAAAAAUCAGUUUUGAAGUACCAAAGGGUUCUUCUAGUGCUCUGCCUAAAAGAGCCUUCAGAAGCUGCAGGUCUGAAAUGCAGCAAGUGUGUGUGUGUGUGUUUGUGUGUGUGUGUGUGUGUGUGUGUGUGUGUGUGUGUGUACCUAUAUAAAACCCAUGUUCUACCUUUCGUGUACUGCACUGGGGCACAAUGCAAUGUGUUGUGGUUGCUUUUAAAGCCCUUUGAACCCAGGAUAGCUGAGGUUAUAACCUCCUCCACUACUAUCCUGCUUAUGUCCCCAAAUCAGAAGCCCUUCUUGGAACCCCCCACCCCCCCGGGUGGGGGCUACAAUUGAUUACUAUAAAAAACGGGGCCUUCUCAGUGGCUGCACUAGUACAAUGGAACGCCCCGUGUAAUGUGGAUAGAUUCCACACUGUCUUUUACUGGCUGGUGAAGACAUUCUUAUUCCAGAAGGCUUUAGACUACCAAAUUUAAUUCGUGGAUAUCAUUUUUAUCUCUGUCCUCUGCAAUUGUUACUUUUUAAAUGGAUUGUGGAUUGUAAAUUGUUGUAAGCUGCCCUGAAUAGCACAAGGGCUCUAGAAGGUCAGACAGAAAUAAUGAAUACUAUGGCUUUUUAAAACUCCGGGUUGUGUGUGUGUGUUUAUUGUUGUUGUUUGUUAUUAUGUUGUAUAUUGUUGUGUUUUUAUAUUGUAAAGCACUCUGUGUUCUUCAGAUGAAGGGUGGUAUAGGAACAACAACAACAACAAUUUGUAGUAGAAAUAAUUCCAGUCUGGCCAACUGAUACUGGUAUGUGUUGUAAUGGCAGGAUUAGAGUAGCCUCACGUCACCUAAACGUCCAUAUUUUGCUCUGGCAAUGCGGAUUGGACUUCAUGACAAUUUUUUAUCGGUGACUGUAAUACAGGUGUAGUAAAAUAUGAAUCUGAACCAGUGAAUUUACUGGUAAGAACAAAAAAAAAAAGUUUAUUUGCUAUCCACUAUAUGCCAUUUGGGUUGGAGAGGACACUUGAAGUUCCUUCCCUUGUGCGGAGCAAUUCUGCUUGGGCUCAGAUGACAAGAUAUCCAACCUGUAAAAUACUCUUGAGGGAACAUUAGCAAUAGGUUAAAAACAAAUCUAAAUGCUGCCCCACUCAAUAAAUGCAAGGUUGCCUAUUCUGAACAUACUCAGUUUGCUCUGUUGUUUUCAGAAGCUUCCAGAUUAACCUUGCAAUAGUAAAAAACAUUUAACAUUUAACAUUUAACUACAGUGGUGCCCCUUGUUCAGCUCAUGUAGUUAUGAUGUUAGUAUAUUGUAUUUUCUUACAUUAAGUUGCAUUUAUAUGAAAUAUAGCUUAUUGUAUUGUUACGUUUCUCACUUUGGGAUUGUAUGGUACGAACAAUGGAGAGUAGGUUACAAAUAUUUUAGAUGAAUAAAUAAAAAUGGUGUCUUUAUACAUACUACACUACAGAAGAAAUUGUGAUGGUUCUUCUCUGUGAAAUUCAUGAGAAAGUGGGAAUUGGCCUGGAAUGUACCCCUUCUUAAAA